AUAUAAGUAGGUAAUUAUAUUAACAUCAUAGCAGGUACAGAAUGUGUCUGUACAACUUGCACUUCGUUUUUUCUUUUUUUCUCUCUUAAGAGAAAAACGAGAAAUAAAAAAGUGCUUUUUGUUUACACUAGGGGGUCGUGAAGAUCUUACUUGCAAGUAUGUGUGCUCGGAAGGGUUAUGAUGACUAUAUAAUAAUCAGACAUAGUAUGCUAAGGUAGUAUGUCUAAAGGGAAACAGCCCAGAACAAGAGUUAAUAAGGUUCCAAAAUUAUUGUUAAGUGAAAAUAAGGAAGUUUCAAUCAAAAAUGCCCAGGAAAUAGACUUAGAUGCGGCCAUUUUUUAAAGACCUCGUAACAGAGCACUGGAUGAGUAAAUUAUUUAGAUAAUUUAUCUUGAUAAAAGCACCGAAAAUUUAACGGAUCUAAACAAUAUACCGAGACCUUGUGCAUAUUUAUAUAUAUAUCUAAGUUGUAUAUUGUAUUUAUGGGGUAGCAGAACAUUGGGCAAACCUCAGAUUUUUUCUUUUUAAGACUUAAGAUAAGAUAACCCAAGUGAUAAUGCUGACAUGAGUAACGAUAAAGGGAAUGAAUUAUUCCCUCGCCUAAAACUUAUGGUAUUUACUUAAAGUAACGGCCUCUAAGUUUAUGAACCUAAAGGACUAAACGAUGAGAAAAUCUUCCACUUUAAAAAAAACAACCUUACAGGCUAGACUUAUAAAAAACAUAGGUUUAGUGCUAGUGCUGAAGUGAAUAGGUUCUGGAAAAUUUUAAGUGGUGCAUCAUGGAUAAGGGGAGGAGGCAAUCUCCUGCCUACUAUGGUGUAAAAACACCGUACCUAGAACUACCCCAAGUAAGUUAGUAGAGAUACGAGCGUUGAAUGACAUCAUAG
rnacentral:rRNA from 1 species